CAUGGCUCAGAUUGAACGCUGGCGGCAUGCUUUACACAUGCAAGUCGGACGGCAGCACAGAGAAGCUUGCUUCUUGGGUGGCGAGUGGCGAACGGGUGAGUAACAUAUCGGAACGUACCGAGCAGUGGGGGAUAACUAAUCGAAAGAUUAGCUAAUACCGCAUAUAUUCUGAGGAAGAAAGCAGGGGACCAUUUGGCCUUGCGCUGUUUGAGCGGCCGAUAUCUGAUUAGCUAGUUGGUGGGGUAAAGGCCUACCAAGGCGACGAUCAGUAGCGGGUCUGAGAGGAUGAUCCGCCACACUGGGACUGAGACACGGCCCAGACUCCUACGG
rnacentral:rRNA from 1 species